AUCCCCUCAGGGACCCCCGGGACCCCCUCAGGGAUCCCCGGGAGCCGCCCCGGGCUCGCGCCGGUCCUGCGGGAGGCGCUGGAGAGAGCGGGGGAGGCGCUGGGAGAGGACGGCGGGCUCCGGGAGCUGCUGAGGAGGCGCAGGGACAGCCUGGAGGGUCCCUGGAAGUGGCUCCUGUUCCACCGCCCGGUGCCGCCCCUGAUCCAGAACGGGCCCCAGUGCGGCCUGGUUGCCCUGGCCAUGGCCGGGGCUCUGCUGGGACCCCCCCGGCCCCAAUUGGGUCUGGGGGCUCUGCUGGAGACAGCGCGGGCCCGGGGCUACACCCGGCACGGGGAGAUGUUCUCUGGUCAGCCUGGGGGGGCUGGGGGGG